rnacentral:rRNA from 1 species
UGCCAUCAGAUGUGCCCAGAUGGGAUUAGCUAGUAGGUGGGGUAACGGCUCACCUAGGCGACGAUCCCUAGCUGGUCUGAGAGGAUGACCAGCCACACUGGAACUGAGACACGGUCCAGACUCCUACGGGAGGCAGCAGUGGGGAAUAUUGCACAAUGGGCGCAAGCCUGAUGCAGCCAUGCCGCGUGUGUGAAGAAGGCCUUCGGGUUGUAAAGCACUUUCAGCGGGGAGGAAGGCGAUAAGGUUAAUAACCUUGUCGAUUGACGUUACCCGCAGAAGAAGCACCGGCUAACUCCGUGCCAGCAGCCGCGGUAAUACGGAGGGUGCAAGCGUUAAUCGGAAUUACUGGGCGUAAAGCGCACGCAGGCGGUCUGUCAAGUCGGAUGUGAAAUCCCCGGGCUCUAACCUGGGAACUGCAUUCGAAACUGGCAGGCUAGAGUCCUAAUUUGG